UAUCAUAUGAUUUUAUAAUACAGGUUAGCCACACAUAUAAUUCAAUAACACAUUUAAAUUGUUGUCUGCCAUAUUAAGACGAUAAUGAUUGCAAAAUCAUGCUUAUAAGUUAUAAUUGUAGUAACAUAGAAAUAUAGAAUAAUAUAAUUUAAGUAUUAUUAGGUUUAGGUAUAAUAAUAUUAUGAUCUAACCGGAAUUCCUUAAUAUCGAUGAAUAUAAGUAAUCAUGGUUUAAAAUAGAUCAAAAUGUAUUUCAGCGAUGCACACCAAAAUUUUGACCGGCUGGCGACUUCGACCCCGGAAGACAUUCGGUCUAGUACUCUGGUGUUCGUGCCUACUAACCUAAAUUAUAGCCAUACCAACUAUUAAUUGUACCAUCGAGUAUUUGCGUCGGAACGAUCUCAAGCGAGACGAGUGUGACGAAUUCCGUGGCAUUGGUAUAGUUGAUUAAACAGUAAAGUUGUCGACGAGAGGAACUUGCCAGAGGGCGCCCGUGUGCAUGUUAUUAUGUGUACCACACUACCACGAUUUAAGAUACUUUUAAUUUUGUGCUAACAAAGUUAUUUAGUCAUUUCGUUGAUGAAUUACUAUAGUUUUUACAAUGAUGUAGGUAUUUAAAAAAAAAAAAUCAUUUUUGAGUGUUAAAACUCAAGUCAUAACACUCACAUA